rnacentral:rRNA from 1 species
GCCUACGGGGCGCAGCAGUAGGGAAUUUUCGUCAAUGGGCGCAAGCCUGAACGAGCAAUGCCGCGUGAACGAGGAAGGUCUUCGGAUCGUAAAGUUCCGUUGAAGGGGAAAAAGAGCGGAGAGAGGAAAUGGUCUCCGAUUGAUAUUACCCUUCGAGGAAGUCACGGCUAACUACGUGCCAGCAGCCGCGGUAAUACGUAGGUGGCGAGCGUUAUCCGGAAUGAUUGGGCGUAAAGGGUGCGUAGGCGGCCUGCUAAGUCUGGAGUGAAAGGUACCGGCCCAACCGGUACAGGCUCUGGAAACUG